UUGCGUUUUUCUAAAUCACAUGUCAGCCCGGCUAGCUCAGUCGGUAGAGCAUGAGACUCUUAAUCUCAGGGUCGUGGGUUCGAGCCCCACGUUGGGCGCUGAUACCUUUUGCGAGACAUUACCACGUGAGAUGACCGUGUGGCUAUAAGUGCUGAACUGGGACGACCCCACACUCUUCCCUCAUAAGAAUGGAAAAAAAAGUGUUGAAUGAUUGAUGUAGUUGACAAGUUAUUUAUUGGAUUUGGCUAGCCUAGGCAGCUAGGCUAUCUGCGUUGAAGAGGAUAAUGAAAGUCGAAAGUCUUCGAAAACAAACAAUUAGUUUAAAUGAUAGGACAACGUUUCAACAGUUACUAAGCUCGUCAACUGCUUAAAUACAGUUAUUUCAGUGUUGUAUUUUCGACUUGAUCGUAUUGUCAGCUUUGAACAUUAGGGUACUCUUUAUUCUGCAUGGCAACAGUUUCGUGGAAAAUUACAUGAGCUGGUUUACUUUUAAAAUGCGAAAAUGUCACAUUUUUCUCAGCCAGCCGACGAGAAAAACAAGUUGAUAUUUGGCGUCUAAACACGUGACUUGUUUUGCCUAACAACAACCAAUCGCAUGCUCCUAUUUGAAAUACGUCACACAGCGCUACCUUCGAAUAUGAGUCAAAACAGCUGAUAUGUGCAGUGCUGGAACAAGGAGCUUCAAACCUGAUAAAGUGAGACGGCAACCGAAGAAAGACAAAACAUGGAUACAAGAAAUGCAAGAAAAGUGGAGUUGCACACCAUUCAUCCUAACCAACAGCCACCUACUCCAAGUCUGGCCAGGAGAAAGAAGAUACAAGAAACGACUGACAUUAGGAGCCCAACGGACAGCAUGAUGUCUCCAUGUUCGCGAAAGCUCCAUGGGAAACCUGCCAAAGAUAUAAACACAACUCCACAUAUGUCCAGGUAUAAGAGUGUGGACAAAGAAAACGUUCCUCGUGAAUAAACUAACUUUUAAAAGGCCUCAGCCUCCUAACCUCCUGUUACCAACUUAGCUCAUGUACAUUGUUCUCAGUAGCGCUGGUGACCUUUGUUCCUUUCAUUCUCAAAAGAAUCAAAGUUAUUAUUCUUGGCUGUCAGUGCUAGUCUGGAUGCUAAACAGUAAAACCCUGUAACACAAUAGGCAGAGGUACAAAGUGUUAUGGUGGACUAGUUCACUUUAAGCAGUGAAGUUAGGCUGUAAAGCAGCCUAGAGCCUUUUCCGGCAGUUUGAUAGGGCAGGGUGGUGGGAUUAUAAUGGACCGUUGCCUUGGGGGAGCUGUAGGGGUGUACCCUCUGUAAAUAAAUAAAUAAAUUCACUAACCUUUUUGGACCUU
rnacentral:tRNA from 1 species